UAAAGCUUCAAACUGGGAUUAGAUACCCCACUAUUCUUGGAUAUAAAAUAACUAUAGUUUACCAGAGUACUAUGAAUUAACAAUUUAAAACUUAAAGGGCUUGGCGGUGUUUUAGACCUCUUAGGGGAACCUGUCUCAUAAUCGACAGUCCGCGCUAAACCUGACCUUUUUUUGCAUUCAAUUUGUAUACCGUCGUCGUCAGGUAACUUUUUAGAAAAUGGAAGUUAGCAACCAAACAAUAAUGAGUUUAUACGUCAGAUCAAGGUGCAGUUAAUAAGAAGGAGAGGAUGGGUUACAAUUAUAGAAUUAUAAUUACGAAAACUUUUUUGAAAUAAAAUUAUGAAGGAGGACUUAAAAGUAAGAUAAUGUAUAUAAACACUCUGAAUUAGGCUCUGAAACGUGCACACACCGCCCGUCACCCUCUGCAGUCAA
rnacentral:rRNA from 1 species